AACUUUCAACAACGGAUCUCUUGGUUCUGGCAUCGAUGAAGAACGCAGCAAAAUGCGAUAAGUAAUGUGAAUUGCAGAAUUCAGUGAAUCAUCGAAUCUUUGAACGCACAUUGCGCCCGCCAGUAUUCUGGCGGG
rnacentral:rRNA from 1 species